UACGUAGGGGGCUAGCGUUGUCCGGAAUCAUUGGGCGUAAAGCGCGUGUAGGCGGCCCGGUAAGUCCGCUGUGAAAGUCGGGGGCUCAACCCUCGGAUGCCGGUGGAUACUGUCGGGCUAGAGUGCGGAAGAGGCGAGUGGAAUUCCUGGUGUAGCGGUGAAAUGCGCAGAUAUCAGGAAGAACACCAAUGGCGAAAGCAGCUCUCUGGGACGGUACUGACGCUGAGACGCGAAAGCGUGGGGAGGCGAACAGG
rnacentral:rRNA from 1 species